ACUGGGUGUUGUGGCGAACAGCUGUGAGCCAGCAUCAAGAUAGUAGAUUGAUAUGGAUGAAGUGAGGGCAGAGGCUCCACGGGUCCACAGAAUGCGGUGAGUGGGGGUCCGCAUCAAGUGUUUCUUCUCAGGUUUAGGCAGCAGCUUCCUAGGCGGUUAAGGAGAGGUGCAUGGCUCAGGGCUGAAAGGCAGUAGAGAAAAACACUCGCACAAUGUAGUGGCCGAAUUAUACCCGUGAGCACUUAGACAACCGCGACCUUUUCGACACCUUCAGGAUGCCGAUCGC
rnacentral:SRP_RNA from 1 species